UAGAGUUUGAUCAUGGCUCAGGAUGAACGCUAGCGACAGGCUUAACACAUGCAAGUCGAGGGGCAGCGGGGAGGUAGCAAUACUUCCGCCGGCGACCGGCGCACGGGUGAGUAGCACGUAUGGAACCUGCCCGUAGCAGGGGGAUAAGCGGAAGAAAUUCCGUCUAAUACCGCGUAAUAACUCCGAGAGGCAUCUCAUGGGGUUUAAAGGGUGACACCGGCUACGGAUGGCCAUGCGGCGCAUUAGCUAGUUGGCGGGGUAACGGCCCACCAAGGCGACGAUGCGUAGGGGUUCUGAGAGGAAGGUCCCCCACACUGGUACUGAGACACGGACCAGACUCCUACGGGAGGCAGCAGUGAGGAAUAUUGGUCAAUGGGCGCGAGCCUGAACCAGCCAAGUCGCGUGAGGGAAGACGGUCCUAUGGAUUGUAAACCUCUUUUGUCGGGGAGCAAAAGACGCCACGUGUGGCGUUCCGAGAGUACCCGAAGAAAAAGCAUCGGCUAACUCCGUGCCAGCAGCCGCGGUAAUACGGAGGAUGCGAGCGUUAUCCGGAUUUAUUGGGUUUAAAGGGUGCGCAGGCGGAAGAUCAAGUCAGCGGUAAAAUUGAGAGGCUCAACCUCUUCGAGCCGUUGAAACUGGUUUUCUUGAGUGAGCGAGAAGUAUGCGGAAUGCGUGGUGUAGCGGUGAAAUGCAUAGAUAUCACGCAGAACUCCGAUUGCGAAGGCAGCAUACCGGCGCUCAACUGACGCUCAUGCACGAAAGUGUGGGUAUCGAACAGGAUUAGAUACCCUGGUAGUCCACACAGUAAACGAUGAAUACUAAUUGUUCGGGGAGAAUGAUC
rnacentral:rRNA from 1 species